UACGUAGGGGGCAAGCGUUGUCCGGAAUCAUUGGGCGUAAAGAGCGUGUAGGCGGCUCGAUAAGUCUGCUGUGAAAGUCCAGGGCUCAACCCAGGAAGGCCGGUGGAAACUGUCGGGCUCGAGUCCGGAAGAGGUGAGUGGAAUUCCUGGUGUAGCGGUGAAAUGCGCAGAUAUCAGGAGGAACACCAAUGGCGAAGGCAGCUCGCUGGGACGUGACUGACGCUGAGACGCGAAAGCGUGGGGAGCAAACAGG
rnacentral:rRNA from 1 species